rnacentral:rRNA from 1 species
GGAAGUUGACGGGGCCCGGCGACAAGCGGUGGAGCAUGUGGUUAAUUCGAAGCAACGCGAAGAACCUUACCACGGCCUUGACAUGCAGAGAACUUUCCAGAGAUGGAUUGGUGCCUUCGGGAACUCUGACACAGGUGCUGCAUGGCUGUCGUCAGCUCGCGUCGUGAGAUGUUGGGUUAAGUCCCGUAACGAGCGCAACCCUUGUCCUUAGUUACCAGCACGUUAUGGUGGGCACUCUAAGGAGACUGCCGGUGACAAACCGGAGGAAGGUGGGGAUGACGUCAAGUCAUCAUGGCCCUUACGGCCUGGGCUACACACGUGCUACAAUGGUCGGUACAAAGGGUUGCCAAGCCGCGAGGUGGAGCUAAUCCCAUAAAACCGAUCGUAGUCCGGAUCGCAGUCUGCAACUCGACUGCGUGAAGUCGGAAUCGCUAGUAAUCGUGAAUCAGAAUGUCACGGUGAAUACGUUCCCGGGCCUU